GUGAGGAAUAUUGCGCAAUGGAGGCAACUCUGACGCAGCCAUGCCGCGUGCAGGAAGAAGGCGCUACGCGUUGUAAACUGCUUUUAACCGGGAAGAAACCCCAGGACGUGUCCUGGGUUGACGGUACCGGAGGAAUAAGCACCGGCUAACUUCGUGCCAGCAGCCGCGGUAAUACGAUGGGUGCAAGCGUUAUCCGGAUUCAUUGGGUUUAAAGGGUGCGUAGGCGGAGCGUUAAGUCAGUGGUGAAAUCCUGCAGCUUAACUGUAGACUUGCCAUUGAUACUGGCGCUCUUGAGUGCGCUGGAAGUGUGCGGAAUGUGCCGUGUAGCGGUGAAAUGCUUAGAUAUGGCACAGAACACCAAUUGCGAAGGCAGCUCACUAAGGCGAUACUGACGCUGAGGCACGAAAGCGUGGGGAUCGAACAGGAUUAGAAACCCCAGUAGUCC
rnacentral:rRNA from 1 species